rnacentral:rRNA from 1 species
GACGAACGCUGGCGGCGUGCUUAACACAUGCAAGUCGAGCGGAGCGGCAAACGGGUGAGUAACGCGAGAGUCACUGCCCCCCUCUCUGGGAUAACAGUUGGAAACGGCAGCUAAUACCGGCUAGUGGGGGAUGACUCGCGUCCUAUCAGCUUGUUGGUGGGGUAGUGGCCAACCAAGGGGACGACGGGUAGCCGGCCUUAGAGGGCGACCGGCAACAUGGGACUGCGAUACGGCCCAAACUCCUACGGGAGGCAGGAGUGGGGAAUAUUGCACAAUCGGGGAAACCCUGAUGCAGCAACGCCGCGUGCGGGAUGACGGCCUUCGGGUUGUAAACCGCGUUCAGCCAUGACGCGGUAGUGGCAGAAGAAGCACCGGCGAACUACGUGCCAGCAGCCGCGGUAAUUC